rnacentral:lncRNA from 1 species
GGCUUUUACUCUCUCUCUGGGCGUGAGUGAGCCUGGGUGUCAGCCGCAGGUGCAAACCGCAAGCUGUAUGUACAGCCUUAAGUAGAGUAAUUACACCUUUACAGACAAUAGUGGCUGUGAGCCAAGUACGAGCUCAGAUGAGUGAUCACCUAAUGCACCUCACGUGGCAUGGUUAUAUAACAAGCAGAGUUGUGCGCCUGCAUUCCAAACCCUGCUAAGUCAUGCUGCACCAGGCAGCCACCUCAGACUACUACUGAGUAAAGCACAGCCAUUUCCUUCACAGUGCUGGAGGAAGGGAGGUGCAGCUUUGGCUCAGCUCUUAACAGUGCAACAUCUAGUGCCUCUAUAGUUCUCUUGGACACAGAUGGCUGCUUUCGAAGAAGAAAGAAGUGGAAAGUGAUGGAGUUUCUAUGCUCCAGCUCUCUUUGCCUGCUGCCAUCCACGUAAGAUGUGACUUGCUCCUCUUUGCCUUCUGCCAUAAUUGUGAGCCCCCCUCAGCCAUGUGGAAUGAUGGAAAACAGAACAAGCCAUGGAGGCCCCAGGGAUCAGGCAGGGCCAAGAGGAUCUGAUGGCGGAAGGGGGAGCACAUCAACAAGACCUUACAAGGCAACUUGCAUGGAUGCUCUGAAGCAACUUUGAGGUCUCCUUGAUGAGGAAAGUUGGCUCAACCUGCUGUAGAGGCCCACAGCCAAGCCAUUGAGAGACAAGUCCAUGGGAGACAAAUUAGCUCAUGCAGCUGAGAUGUCCUGGAGAUUUUCCACAGCACCACUUGGCCAGUGCCUAGACAAGGCUUCCGAGGCGAUCCGGCAACAUCAGUCUUCAGCCGCUAAGCCAAGAAGAUCUGGGAAGGAGUCAAUCAGAGAGCCUUGGGCCAGAGUUCCAGGGGCUGUGGAAGUGGCUGCCAGGUGAGUUGAACAGUCCGAUUUUCAGUGGGGUCCUACACAGAUGGGACACAGCUUAGGAGGAAUCCUGGGCUGUGGGCAUUCCUUGGCCUAGUGGCCAGAUUUCUGGCACUUGUAGCAAGCUCCUGGGGGAGGAGGUUCUGGAGGAACCCCUGGCAGCUGCGGUUUGGGCGUUUGGAGUUCUUGUGUGCUGGAGAUGUGGCUGGGGUUUGUCUCACAGUGGAGGCAAGAAAUUGCAACUCAGAAAUACAUUGCUACUUGGCUGCCUCUACUCUAUUAUUGUAUAACUUGAAGGUGAGGUUAAUUAAGUCCUGUUGUGAGGUUUGAGGGCCGGAAUUUAAUUUUUGGAGUUUUAUUUAAUGUCAGGAGCGGAUUGGGUAAUAAAAUGUAUAUUGAGAAUAAGACGGCCUUUUGACAUUUUAGGGUCUUGGGCUGUAAAGCGUCUCAGGGUUGCUGCCGAACGAGCCAUGAACUGGGCUGGGUUUUUCAUAUUUGAUGAAAGAGCCUAAAUGCUAACUGAUUUGGGAGAGGUCGGAUAAAGAAAAAGAAGCAUUAACCUUGACUAUGCCUUUAGCUCCAGCCUCCUUUUUAAGAGGAAAUUGCUGGUCAGGUGGAGGAGGGCUAGUCGCGUCGCGGAACGAAACUAUAAGCCGGACUGGGUGUGAGGAGGGGAGGUGAUAAAAGGAUUAUAGGGUGGGGGAGCAGAGGCUGAGGAAGAAUUGGGACCUGGCUUGACCUGGCUUGGCCUGGCGAGGAGCAGCCUGGGGAGGAGGAGAGAGGUCAGAUGGGUCUGUAGAAAAGGAAGAUUAGAAAGACUCAGCGACGCUUGGGGUUGGGACUGAGAGGACAGGCGGGAGGGAAAGAAGGAGGAUUUGGGAUGAGUCACAUUGGGAACAGAGAGUACGGAGAGAACAAUGUGUAAAAGAAUGCCUGGACGUCAGGCACCUCAGACCAUUUGCCCAUUUUACGACAAGAAUUAUCGAGAUCUUGUGGGAUGGAAAAAUCGAAAGUGCCGUUCUGUGGCUAUUUUAGAGCCUUUGUCAAGUUUGUAUUGGGGCCAAGCGGUGUUGCAGAAUAAAAUAAGAUGCUUAGAUUUUAGGUCAGGCGAGAGUUGAAGAGGUUUUAAGUUCUUAAGAACACAGGCUAAGAGAGAAGAAGGAGGAAUGGAGGGUGGAAGGUUGCCCAUAGUGAAGGAGGCAAGUUUAAAGAGAAGGGUAGAGACACGGAGAAGGGGGUGGGGAGCAGCCCUGGGCUGCAACGUGGGUGAGCAGCCAAAGCAGGCGUCCUUGCAAUUGACUUGCCACCAAGGGAACAUGGGCGAAUGAUCAAGGAAGGCACCCCUGCGGAGAUCAGACACCAGUGGAACGUGGGUGAAUAAUCCAAGAGGCAUCUCGGCGAUGAUUAAACACCAAGGUAAGGCUGUCUUCCCGAGUCCGUGACCGGCGCCGGAGUUUUGGGUCCACAGAUAAAAUGUGUCUCCUUUGUCUCUACCCGAAAAUGAAAGGAACUGAAAUUAACAGAAGGGAGAGAUUGAAGUGUGGCGCCAAGCUUGAAAGGAGAAAGAGGUUGAGGGAUAGUGAGGGAGGUUGGAGAAGAGAGUAAAAAGAGGCCGCUUACUGGAUUUGAAAUUGGUGAGAUGUUCCUUGGGCUGGUCAGUCUGAGGACCUGAGGUUGUAGGUGGAUCUUUCUCAUGGAGCAAAGAGUAGGACAGGGGAUUGAUCUCCCAAGGGAGGUCCCCUGAUCCCAGUCACGGCACCAAAUUUCACUCGCGUCCGUGUGAAGAGACCACCAAACAGGAUUUGUGUGAGCAACAAGGCUGUUUAUUUCACCUGGAUGCAGGCGGGCUGAGUCUGAAAAGAGAGUCAGUGAAGGGAGAUAGGGGUGGUGCCGUUUUAUAGGAUUUGGGUAGGUAAAGGAAAAUUAGUCAAAGGGGGUUGUUCUCUGGCUGGCAGGAGUGGGAGGUCACAAGGUGCUCAGUAGGGGAGCUUUUGAGCCAGGAUGAGCCAGGAGAAGGAAUUUCACAAGAUAAUGUCAUCAGUUAAGGCAGGAACAG